UACGUAGGGGGCAAGCGUUGUCCGGAAUCAUUGGGCGUAAAGAGCGUGUAGGCGGCUCGAUAAGUCUGCUGUGAAAGUCCGGGGCUCAACCCUGGAAGGCCGGUGGAAACUGUCGGGCUAGAGUCCGGAAGAGGCGAGUGGAAUUCCCGGUGUAGCGGUGAAAUGCGCAGAUAUCGGGAGGAACACCAAUGGCGAAGGCAGCUCGCUGGGACGGUACUGACGCUGAGACGCGAUAGCGUGGGGAGCGAACAGG
rnacentral:rRNA from 1 species